rnacentral:lncRNA from 1 species
UAGACAGUGUUCCACACUGGCUCACUCAGCUUCUCCUGGGCUUAGGUCACCUGCAGUUCCUGGGAUGUCAGUGAGAUCUCUCUGUGGAAGCCUCGGAGCCUGACCCUUCUGAAGAAGUGCGAAGAUGAUGUGUGUGAUGCUUUUGCUGGUUUCUUCUGGUUUCUUUUCCUCAAGUACUUGACUG